CGGGUGCUCGGAACGUCGUCCUGCUGACCGGCUUCUUCUCCGGCUUCGGCCAUCCCUCGAACGACUUCGAUACCUACUUCUCUCCCUUUCAGCCCCUUCCCUUCGGGGUGACCGAGACCGGCUAUGGUGCCGGCGCCUUUUAGAGGACGCCUCUUCCUCACCGAGCGCGUUGGCCAUCUGCAGUUCGAGCUCUUCCUGCUGAAGACGUAGGGUCAUUAUGGCAUCUUUGUUUUGCUGCAUCUUUUUCUGCAGGAUGAAUUCUCUCUGAUCUCGACUACCCUGGCUACGACUCUUUUCCCGCGCCUCCAGCGCUCGCGAAUUGGCUUCGUCCAUCCGACUGGCCUGGUUGCGGGUAUGCUGGCUCUCAUGGAAGAGUCUGCGUCGGGGGGAGCCAGCCGGCUCCAUCUGAUCGUCCUGGGUUCUGGAGCCCAGUCUGUCUUUCACCGAUCCUCUCACCUGAGUGGUCUGGUGUGUUUUGGCCUUUUCACGGUCGGAAACUGCAUACUCCACACUCGCCAUAGUUCCUUCCCUGAAAAGUGUUCGAUUGUGAUUGUUAUUUAAGCACUGCCCUCCUUCUAGCGCCAAUGUUAACGCCAAGUUUCGCCGGCGCGUCCAAUCACAGAAUCCACGCGCUAGAACCUGCACAGUAACGGAUCACACAGAAGCUUGACGGCUUAUGCCGCCGGGGGAUAGCUCCGGUGUGAGAAUGAGUACAGGCCGUUACAAGGUUUAACAAUGGAGGAUAAGUAUUUAGUGCUCAAAAUAGGUAUUACCUCAUAAUGAUAACCUAGGCCUCAUAUUUAUAGUACUCACCACCUUAGAAUCCUUCUCCCAGUCGGACUAGGACUCCUAGUAUAUGGUAAUUACCAUAACUUGGGUCCAACGCCAUCUCCUUAAAAGGUGCAAGUAGAGUCCAAUCUCAUCACCACCUUUGGAGUUACCUUAUAUGCACAUGAAUAGGUACCCGGACUGUGCACGCAGGAGAGCCCACUGUGCAGGCCCAAACGGUCCUAUAAUCUAACCUGGGCUUCGGCCCAAAGGACUCGAAGACCCGACCCCGAACAUCACAAGACCAGGUUCGGCUAUGGUCCCGGAGGGCACAAAUGCCGACCCGAACACCUCCAACACCUUCAUGGGCUUCGGCCCAUCGGUCUCUCCAGCCCUUCUGGUAUUGAAUCUUCGGCCUAAUGGAGGGUCGGUAAAACGCUCCCGAACACAUUACUUUCUAAAUUACCCCUAAACAUUUAAUACUCUCCUUAAUUUUUUUCCUCUUUUAAUAUCUUAAUGGUAUACUCUCUUUCUCUUUCUUUUUCUUAUAAUUCCUAUAUUUUAUCUAUCCUCUAAUAAUAUUUCUCUUUCAUCUUAUCAUCUACAAUUUAGAUUUUCAUUUAUCUAUGCAAUGGUGUUUUUGGUAAUACAUAGUAAUUUUAGUGUAGUUUUUAUACAAGUUUUAACUUCUUUAAUAGUUGUGCAAAACUCCAAAACGUCAAAUAAUUAGGAAUGAGAGGAAGUACUAUGUUAAACAAUUUUUACAUGACAAACAAUUACUGUGUUAUUUUAAUUACUAUGUUAAAUAAUUAAAAUAAAAAAUUAAUUAUAAUAUGGCACUAAGUUCUGGCUAAACAUAACUUUUAUGAAAAGUGGGAGGAAAAAUAAAAAUUCACUUAAAGUUAAGCUGGACAAAAUAAGUGAGUGGGCAAAUAAAUACAUAAAUUGCACAAAUAAAACAAAUUUAUUUAUUUAUUUCUAAGUAAUUUAUGGACAAAACUGACCUUUAUAAAGUUUACAAAAUUUAUAAGUUUCAAAAUAAUAUUUAAGUUUAUGAUUAAUAAUAGUAUAUAUUUUGAGUAAAAAAGUUUAUGGUUAAUAAUAGUAUAUAUUUUGAGUAAAAGUGUUUUUUUUAUGGGAAUAAAAAUUUAUUUUGAAAAUACAUUUAUAUUUAUUAUUAAAAAGUUUAUCAUUUAUUUUUCUUAAAAUAAAACUUCAUCAUAAUUGCCUCUAGACUCUAGUAUGUAUAUGUGAUAGGUUUAAAUAAUUUUUUUAUUAUUUAUAGGCGUCUUUUUGAUGUAUAAACAAAUUUAAAUUAUAGUUUAAAAUAUGUUAUUAUUGGUAAGAGUAUAAUAGUCUAAAAGAUAUUUUUUAAUCCAAUCCUUUAAUUAAUUCUGAAAAAAAACAAACAUAAUAUGUAAUUAUUUUAAAUUAUCUCAUAAAAAAUAAAUAUAUGAGUAGAACUAUUUAAUCCUAAGAUUAAUAGUCUUAAUAUUAUAAUCUCAUUAAUUAUAAUUCCGAAAUUAUAAUUCUUAGCCUAAAUAAACUACCUUCACGAAUUUUGUUAUUUGCCUAGUACCAAAAAUGGGAUUUCAGCAAUUCAAUUUAGGGAAACAUAUAGUCUGUAAAAUUAAAAAUUAAGUAAAUAGAAAAAAACAAGAUGCAGAUUAAACAAGUAGUCUAAAGCAAAAAAAAUAAGGAGACCAAACAAGCAUUGCUCGCAUAAGAUGCAAGAAGCGAGCUUCUCAUAAUCCGGUAAAAUCCUCGUCAAUUCGUCAUUUGUAUUAAAUUUGAAAUUAUAAUACUCCAUUCUGUUCCGAAUUAUAAGAUUACUAUUUGUUAACGCUAAAAUUUUCUCCAACGUCCCAAUUACGUAAGACGCCCUGAUCCUGCACAAUAAACACGAUAAACACUACAAGCUUGACGGCUGAACCGCCGGGGGAUAGCUCAAGCGUGAGAGUCAGUAUACGUGUUCACAAUGUUAACAAUUGAGGAUGUAAUGUCUAGUGUAUUGAGAGUGAUAAUAAUUCUCAGUUGUGUGUAUGUGAAUAUGAAUGUGAACGUACCUGUUUGUUAAGACUUAGUUGAUAGGUUGUACUCUCUUUGCCCGGUUUAUCGUGCCACCCACUACCUCUGACACAGCCCCCUGCUAUGAUGGAUUCUGCCGACUGAGUGUUGUAUACCCACUAUUUUUGGGUACUGUUUAUGCCGCCGGCCGGCUAUAAUUCCAUCCACAUUAAUGCAUGGCAGGUGUCUUAGUCAACUGUCCUACUUUUUCAUCAUUACAAGUCAAAAUAAUAGAUAUUAAAAGAUCCAAUAGGUUAGUCCAAUGAACCGACCCGGUUUCAUAGGAUUAAAUAGAAGUAAUAUGGUGACUAGGCCCAAUGGCUUUCAAGGUUCAAUAAUGAAGGCCCAAUAGAUUAAUUAAAUAAGUAAGCCCAAUUUGCUCAGCCCAAAGAGGGGAAAUAUCAUGACCCAACAUUGCCCCCUAAUUUUUUGUUGAACGGAAUGUUUAAUAGAAAACUAUAAAUUAAUGGUCUAUGAUAUUUUACUAAAGGUCCAUGAUGAGAAGUAAUCGAAAGGUACCCGGUUAUGGUUCAUGAGAUGAAAUGAGAGGAGACCGGAGGCCCAAAUCAGAAAGGCCCUGUCUGAUAAAUAUCUGGACCCGGAACCGGACGCUUCCCAUUCAAAUUCUAAAUCAUUACUAACAUUUAAUGUGCCGGCCUUGUACACCGUGUAACCGUCAGUAUAAAAGAUAAACUUUACCAAUUUUGACAGUUUUACCUACCAAUUUGAACUUGGAACCUUUGAGCUUUCUCCUUCUCUCCAGAACUUCUUUCCCUCUCUACGAAAUCUCAAAAAUGGUGGUCCUGAAUACCAACCAGAGUUCUCCUCCUCGAGUGUCUCCCAUUAACACCGUUUCCCCCAAUCCAAACCCUGAUCAAGAGGGUUCGAGUUCAAAUCCACAGUCCACAGCAACCAUGGGGAAGAAUCCGCCCUCGAUACCCUCUCUGCCACCUACUGACUUCUUUAAGGAUGGGGAACAGUUUCCUCAUGCCAAUACCCCCUCUACUGUUACGGAAGCUGAGAUACGUAUCCUCCGGACUCGCUAUCAGAUUCCGGAUAUGUACGCAACAAGGGCUCCUGCUCCUCAAGAACGCAUGUACCAUCGACCGGAUGGUUGGGUCAUCAUGCCAGUUAUAUUUCUCGAAAAGAGAAUUCGCCUACCCCUCCAUGCCUUCGUCGUUACCCUCCUAGGGUUUAUAGGAGUGGGAUUUGCCCAGUUGGUUCCUAAUUCCUAUAUCUACAUUCUGGCAUUCAUUGCCUUCUGUCAUGAACUAGGGAUUCCUCCAUCUGUCGACAUCUUCUUCACCCUCUUCUCAGCCGAUAAAUCCCGAGAACGAGGUUUCAAAAUGUUGAGCAAACAGUCUCCUCGACCCAACGCCAGAUUUGAGAAGAGACCCCUGAUGGAUACCCCUUCAAGCAAUAAGGGUUGGCACGAAAAAUAGUUUUUUGUUACAGGACCCGAAAUUUCUUCUCUUCCUGAUUGGACUAUCUCUGAUCGGAUUUCUGCCGACUUUGGAGAUAUCCCCGAAGAGCGUGUGAAGGAAAUGGCAGAUUUUUUGAAGAAGAUUCCUCCGAAGGAAUGGAGUUUUGCACAUCUGACUAAGCAAACCUGGUUAUAUGACCAUAAAUGUAAGUUUCGAACAACUUUGAAACACAGUUUUUUGAGAUAUUUAAAUGACAUGGGUUCUGAUACAUGGUUAUUUGCAGUGUCUUUGAUCAAACCAACUUCUUCGGAAGUAAAAGAGUUGGAAGACUUUUUGGCAGGGGAGAUUAUGGAUGCAAGUGAAGAGCCUCCGACUGAAGAAUCUCCCCGAGCUGAUCCCCCCGUCACCGAUCCACCCACAGUUUCUCCUCAGAAUGACAAACCCCAAACUGAUGAACCCAUCGUUCCUGAAGAAUCUCUCAGACCUCGUCGAAGGAAAAGAGCCGCCAAGAAAUCUAAAUCCACCCAGCCGGAAACAAAUCCUGAAAGCGAUCCGGAAACAAUUCCAGAAGCAAUUCCACAAACAAACCCUUCAUCUAACCCUAGUUCUGUACCUUCUGAAUCGGUUCCGAUUAAGAGAAGGCUGCUUGACAUACCUCUACACGAUCGAGCGAAGGUCCUCCGUGCUAAAAAACUGAGGAUAAAGAUUACUCCAUUGACUGCCGAGGAGCUCCAAGUUCCAUCGUCUUCAACUGACAUUCCCCCAAUAGUCCCAACGGGAAUUCAAGUGCCUGAUGAUGAACUGGUCGAAUCUAUCCCCGUCCUAUCUAGGAAAAGGAAACAACCAUCAGACAGCCAUUCAGGUUCAUCCUCUGCUCCCUCACCAGUCCACGAACCUAAUCCUGUUCGAUCUCCCUCUCCGGAAAAUAUAUAUACGGAUCCGCCACGAACUCGCGAUCAGCCUGUGCCUUCUCCUCCAAGACAGUCAACCUCUGAAUUUCAGUAUGAUGCUAUGGCCUCUCCAACCAUGUGGCCUCGAUUUAAUGCCAACUUUCCUUUUCAACUGUUCGACGCUUUCGUCCGUGAGACCGAUGACCAUCGAUUUGGGAACAGUUCGAACGGGGAUUUGCUUAACGAAGGCAUGAGCUAUCUGGCGAAGGUAAAUGGUUCUCUCUUUAAUUUUCGUAUUUAUCUUCAUACUUAUACAGUUGAAACUGAUCAAAUGAUGUUGGACAUGCGUAGGCGAAUGCUGUGUUUGGACGUCUGCGUCCAAAGUCUAUCGAAGCUGAAACAGAAGAAUAGACAAUAAAAAAGGAGAAUUCCAUCCUGAAGUCUGCUCUGGCUCGGGAAAGGACUCAACGUGAGAGCGUUCUUCACACAAAUGAAGGUCUUCAGAAAGAGUUGGCCCAAGCCAAAGGUGAUGUGAAGACAUCCAAUGAAGAACUGAAGUCAACUAAAGCACAAUAUGAGGAGAUCGUCAAGAUGAACGUUGAUUUGGUUCAGAGGAGCGAAAUAAGGAUGGAGAAGAUCAAAGAGUUAAAGGCUAAUGCUAAGAUCUUGAAUAAAACGAUCCAAAAGCUAGAGCUAGCAGAAACUCAUCAUCUGAAUAAGCGUCAGAAGCUUGAAGAAGAAAUCCGAGAACUCAAGGCUUUUCGGGACCUUGGGCCUCCUUUGACCGAUGAUCUUCGAAAGCAGAUCUGUGAAGAGUAUCGGACAUCGGAUGAGAUUAACGGAGAGAUCAUGAAGAUAUAUUCUGAAAGCUAUGAGCUCUGCCGGAGUCGUGGCAAGGAGAAGUUGAUUACAGCUAACGUGGACCCAACUUUGCUCGACUCUUCAAAUGGCGAGGAUGAUGCAUGAAGUGAAUACUUUUGUCUUUCCUGGAUUUUAUUUAAGAAUAUUUGUGAAAGUUUCUGUUAUUUUACUUUCUUUAAUUUAUAGGAUUUGUGUAAAAAAAAUUUAGUUUUGUAAUCAAAUUAAAUAUUAAUGAAAGGUGGUCUCGUCCCUUAUGACUUCGGUGAAUUUACUUUCUGCCAAUACUUCAAUAUUAAUUCAACUGGAAAAAUGUACAAACUCUUUCAUGGACUCAACUCAAACUGUUAUUUAACAACUAAGCAUGUCAUAUAACAGAUAAGAUGAAGUUAAAGAAUGAGGCAUUCCGAACUCGACACUUAGAAAAAAUUUAGGUAAUAAAGUAAAGGGAUACUUAUUAGUUACCGAAGUGUGAGACAGAUCUGCUUCAUUGGGAAUUUGUUUACCCCAAAAGGCCUAACAAAACCAAAAAAUGACAUUUGCCUACCACGAAGGGCCUGACAAAGUCUAAAGAACGACAGUUGUCUACCACGAAGGGCAUGACAAGGUCUGAAGGACAACGCUUGCCUACCACGAAGGGCCUGACAAGGUCUGAAGGACAACGCUUGCCUACCACGCAGGGCCUGACAACGUCUUAAGGAUGACACUUGCCUACCACGAAGGGCCUGACAAGGUCUAAAUGUCGACAAUUGCCUACCACGCAGGGCCUGACAACGUCUUAAGGAUGGCGUUUGCCUACCACGAAGGGCCUGACAAACCCAUAAGGUCAACCUGCCAUUAAGGCUACCAUUGAAUGGUCAGCGAGUCCCCCCGAACCUCCUUACACCACUGAACUGAUCAGCAACGAAGACAAGAUUUGUUUCAGAGAACAAAAAAAAGGGAACUUUUAUUGAUGAUGACGUGAAUAUUUAUAGACUUCCGAUGUACUGACAUCAUUUUUACUGAAAGUACUUCCUAAGCCUGCCAGCGUGUCAAGUAUUUUUAAUUGCUGACCUGUCUAAUGCCUUCAACCGAAAAGUCCCCGAUUUCGGUACUUCAGUGACUUCAUACGGUCCUUCCCAGUUUGGCAUUAGCUUUCCUAGAUUCUGAGGUGUAGAUGCUUCGACUUCUCUGAGGACAAAAUCCUCUACUUCGAAUCUGCGAAACUUUACCCCCUUAUUAUAAUGCUUGGCCACUCUUCGCUGAUAGGCUGCCAAUUUGAUUAAGGCUAUUUCUCUGACUUCUUCAAGCAAAUCAAGAUCGGCCUUCAGCCCUUCUUCAUUGUAGAUCUCUUUGAAUUGACUAACUCGAAGACUUGGAGAUCCAAUUUCAACUGGGACUAAGGCAUCAGUACCAUAGGCCAGUCUGAAAGGUGAAUCCCCCGUUGUAGUCCUCAAAGUAGUUCGAUAAGCCCAUAACACGCUAAGUAGCUCUUCUGGCCAUCUGCCCUUAGCUUCGUCCAAUCUGCACUUGAUCCAAUUCAGCAGCGUUCUGUUGGUCACUUCAACUUGUCCGUUUGACUGAGGAUGAGCUACUGAAGUCUUUAUGUGCUGGAUCCCCAGUUCUUUCAAAAAUGUUUCAAAUUUUGAUCCCACAAACUGACGACCAUUAUCUGAUAUUACCACCUUAGGAAUUCCGAAACGAAAUACUACUGAUUCUUUCAAAAAUUUCAAGCAUUCCUGUUCCGUUAUUAACCUAAGUGGCUUUGCUUCUACCCAUUUGGUCAUAUAGUCGAUGGAAACUAUAACAAAACUGACUUGACCUUUUGCUUUCGGUAGCGGACCCAGUAUAUCAAACCCCCAGACAGCGAAGGGUAUAGGAGAUAAGAUCGAGUAUAGCUCUUCUGGUGGCUGAUGUGGUAUUGGACUGUUGAGUUGACACUUCUCGCACUUCUUGAUGUAUUCAGUCGCUUCCUUGAAGAUGGUAGGCCAGUAGUAUUCCUGACGAAGUACUUUGUAGGCUAAUGACUUAGCAACCAUAUGGUCGCCACAGAUGCCUUCAUGUACCUCUCGGAGAGCAUAUUCAGCUUCAGAUGGAGUCAAACAUUUUAGUAGUGGAGACGAGAAAGCCCUUCGACACAGAUCCCCAUCAAUCAGAACAAAAUUAGCACUUUUGUACUUGAUUUUCUUGGCUAGCAUCCUAUCCGAUGGUAAAACGCUAUCUGUCAGAUACUCCAGAUAUAGGGUUAAUCAGCAGUUGGUUCGGUCAAUGCACAUUACCGAUUCAUGAUGAACACUAGGAUGUUGUAAAAUUUCUAAGUAAACCGACCCCUCAAAGACGUUAACAUCCGUAGUGGCUAAUUUGGAGAGUGCAUCAGCAAUGGAAUUGUUAUUACGCUCGACCCCCUAAAACUCGUAGGAUUGGAAAUACUGAAGUCGUUCUUUUAAUUCUGCCAAAUAUUUGAUCAUUCUUGGGCCUCGAGCUUCGUACUCCCCAGAGAAUUACUUAACGACUAACUGAGAAUCACUGAAGAUGACUAUUCUCUGCACUUCAAGACUCUUCGCUAGUCGUAACCCUGCGAGUACCGCCUCAUAUUCAACUUCGUUAUUCGUCGUUUUGAACUGAAAUAUGAUGGCCUGUUGCACCUUGAAUCCCUCCGGACUCGUCAGAAUAAUCUCUGCUCCACUGACGUCCGUAGUAGAAGACCCAUCUGCAUACAGCGUCCACGAACUCUGCUUCUGCUGAAGAACUGCAACUGCUCUGUCAGAUCCUUCAGCUUCUGCCACAACUUCAUCAGCUUCAGAAAACAAGCAUUCAACUACAAAAUCAGCCAAGGCUUGCCCUUUGAUGGCGGUUCGGGGAUGAUAUUCAAUGAAAAAUUGGGACAACUCCAUCGUCCAUGCAGCUAAUCUCCCCGAUACCUCAGGUUUGCCCAUGAUUUUCUUCAAAGGCUGAUCUGUGUAUAUUAUUACCAAUCUACCCUGGAAGUAUUGCCUAAGCUUUCGACUAGCAGUUAUUAAAGUAAAAGCAAAUUUUUCAAUGUUUGGGUACCUUGUUUCAGCAUCCCGAAGGACAUGGCUUACAUAAUAAACCGGGUGCUGUUUACCCCCAACUUCACUCACCAAAACUGCUCCUACUGCCAACGAACUAGCUGCUAAGUACAAAUAUAGAGGCUCAGCAGGAACGGGCUUCACCAACAAAGGCGCCGAAGAUAAGUAGGACUUGAUGCUCUGAAAGGCGUCCUCACACUCCGAAGUCCAUUGGAACGUCUUUGCAUUCUUCGGCCCUUUCAACGUAUCAAAAAACGGCAAACAUCUUUCUGCCGACUUGGACAUGAACCUCCUUAAAGCUGCAAUCCUUCCAAUCAGAUGUUGAACAUCUUUAAAUGACUGAGGAGUCUUCAUGCUCAGGAUCGCUUGAAUCUUCUCUGGAUUGGCUUCAAUUCCUCUUUGACUGACAAGAUAACCCAGAAACUUGCCAGCCCCUAGACCGAAGGUGCAUUUAGUGGGAUUUAGUCUCAAGUUGUGAUGGCGAAUUGUCUGAAAGUAUUCUUCUAAAUCAUCCAGAUGUUUACGUACCAGCAUGCUUUUAAUAAUCAUGUCAUCCACGUACACCUCCAUAUUCUUACCCAACUGGUAUCUGAAGACGUAGUUCAUCAUCCUCUGGUAUGUGGCCCCAGCAUUGAUGAGGCCGAAGGUCAUUUUCUUAUUGGCAUAUAUCGAACGAUGCGUAAUGAACGCCGUCUUCGGUAUAUCCUCUUUACUCAUGGAAAUCUAAUGAUACCCAGAGAAUGCGUCCAUGAAACUUAACAAAGCAUACCCCGAAGUGGCAUCGAUGAGUUGGUCGAUGUGGGGCAGCGGGUAGAAAUCCUUUAGACAAGCUUUAUUCAGAUCGGUAUAGUCGAUGCAGACUCGCCAUUUACCGUUCUGUUUCUGGACUAGCACCAUAUUUGCCAUCCACUGCGGGUAGUCGAUCUCAAAAAUGAAGUCAACUGCCAACAGUUUUGCAAUUUCUUCAUCGAUGAUCCGUUGACGUUCAGGUACAAAUAUCCUCCUCUUUUGUCGAACUGGUUUAUUUGACGGGUCCACUUCCAACUGAUGCUCAACAAUAUCUCUGCUUACUCCCGGCAUAUCCUGAGGUUCCCAUGCGAAGAUAUCAACAUAGCAUCGUAGGAGCUCCAUGAGGUUCGUCCGGAGAGGUUCCGGCAGACCCGAACCUAUUUUCACUGUCUUGUUCACUUUGCCCGGGAUGAGCUCUAUCUCCUCUGUUUCUUCAGCUGGCAUGACCAAUGGUUCGGAACUACUCUCAGUGAAGGGUUCGAUCUCUAUCGCCAUGGUCUGCUUUUGCUUCGAUACCCCCACUCCCGAAGUGAUCACAGCAUUUCUAUAAUAUCUUCUGGCCAGAUCCAAAUCUCCUUUCACCUCACCAACCCCAUGAGCCGUAGGAAAUUUGAUUUUGAAAUGAGGGAUUGAGGUCACAGCUUGUAAAGCAAUUAAAGUAGGCCUCCCCAAAAUAUCAUUAUAAGCAGAAUCUAUAUGCACAACAUAAAAUUUGCAAAUAAUUUCUACCUGCUGAGGGGCCGUUUCGAAGAUGACCGGUAGUUCAAUGGUUUCAGCCACCUUGACCGGAUCGUUACUAAAAUCGUACAAAGGAGCCUCCUGCCCUAUCUCCAUUUUCCGCUCGUCUAGCUGCAUCCUCUAAUAAGCGUGGGCAUACAGAAUAUCUACAGAAAACCCAUUAUCUACCAUUAUUCGCUUCAUAUCCACCGAACCCACUUGCGCAAUCAGCACCAAUGAUCCCUCAUGCGGUUCGAUGGUUUCUGAAGGGUAAUCCUCGUCAGUAAAAGAGAUUACCGUACUCGGAUAAGGUUUAUCAGUCUUCGGGAGGGUACCCGCCACUGACAUGACCGAAUCCAAGUGACUUCGGCGUUUCUUUCCAACAAGUUUGCCAGAAGUACCCCCAGUGAUGACAUCUAUCACAUGCCUUGCAGGUUGUCCCAGGGCUGACAACGCUUGCUGAACUGGUUGAGCUGCCGAAAUAGGUCCUCCGUCCUGCUGUUGAUUAGUUUUGGCAGCCACAUACUAAACUAAAGCCCCACCUUGUACCUUUCUUUCAAUGAAAUAUUUCAAACUAGCACAGUCGUUCGUAUCGUGACCUGAAGCUUGAUGGUAAUCACAAUACUUACGAGAAUUCCCUUUUCCGGGCUUAAUGUUAUCUCAAGGUGGCUCGAAGAUAGGUUGAUUCUUAAUCUGAUCCAAGAUAACAGCCCUGUCUGUGUUGAGUGCUGUGUACGUCCUAUUCACUUUCUGGGUGGGAGCGGACGAACGUCCUCCACCCUGUCUCCAAUUGUUGUACCUCUUCGACCCGCCUUCAUAGCGGUCUUUAUUCCCUUCAUUCUUCUUCUGGUCCCCAUCGGUUUUGUCCCGAUCUGUCUCCUUAAGCCGGUCUGAAGAAGGACGUUUGAGGCUGUUCAUGGCUUCCUCCACCACGAUAUAGCCUUCAGCUUUGUCGAAGGCUUCAGUGGUUUUCCCCUUCUUUUGUUGCUCCCGAAGCGAGCAUGAAAUUUACUGCACAUGUCUGCCCAAGAUGAAAUCGAAUCCGAGGGUAAAGUCCUCAUCCACUGCCGGGUAUCCUUUCUGAGCGUUGUGACAAAAGUAUGACACUUAGCAGCAUCGCUAAAGUCAUAAUAAUCCAUCAGUCGGUCGAACGCCUGACUGUGGUCGUAGGGAUCCCCCGAUCCAUCAUAACUUUCAAUGUGGGGCAAUUUCUUGGUGGGGUCAGCUUUCUCUUUUAGAAUCUCCGCGGAAAAAGGGGAUGCCUUCUUUCCCGAAGUAUCUUUUGUUUUUUGUACUUCGGCAAGCUGCUUCCGAAGUUCCUUUAAUUCUUUAACCAGAUACUCCACACCUUCUGGUUGAGAUGAUGCUUCUUUUUUCGGUGACUCCUUCUUCUUCUGAGCGGACCGGUUUCUUACAACAGAACCUCCAAUUUUAGAGGGACUUUUCCGAUGACGAGUGUCCACAGGGUGGUGUACCUUCAGUAGACUCUCGGGAGUAUGACCUCUAGAUAUACUUCGUCUCUGAACUCGGGCGCUAUGGUGAGAAUGUGCAACAACAAGUGCCUUUUUUGUAUUCUCAGGAGUGCGAUCUCUGGAUCGACCUCUUCGUUCGCUUCGACCCUGUCCCUUAGAAUCGACAGGGUGAUAUGCCCUCUUCAAUCUUUGAGGAGUAGGGCUUCGGGAUCUUCUUCUUUCUCGGGUUUGGCCCCGAGACUCACGUCCUGAAUGAACAGGUUCCAUCCCACUCCGAUGCCCUCGCUCUUUGGACUGAACAUAACUGAACUCUUCGUCCCUCAACUCUGUCAUUCGAGCCAUCUGCUCAGCUAUAUCCUAUCACUGCUUCAUAAGUACUUCCAUAGCUCUAUCUGCUUCAUCUGCCAUCUUAGCCAAUCGGGAGGCCUUUGCGUCUUGGUCAUCUCGGUAUCGAGUUCUAGGCGAGGUGCCUUCUACUCGUUUCCGACCAUGGCCAGACCCCUUCUCUAUCGUGAAAACUAGCUUACGCUUAGCUUUGCCCACCGCCUUCGGCCGAGAAUCUUCAGGUGAACGUUUGGACGCUGUGCUGGCGUGAACACUUAUUGUAGAUCCCAAACGAUCUUUGGCAGACACUCGUGGUGCUGAUUCACUGACAGCCAUCGGCUGCCCUUCGGGUGUAGGUGUUACUCUUCACCAUGAAUACUGACGUAGAACAAACACAGUCUAUGAUUGAAAAAUACUCAGGACACUAGAACCCAGCCCUCCUUCUAGCGCCAAUGUUAACGCCAAGAUCUUCUCCAACGUCCCAAUCACGUAAGACGCCUUGAUCCUGCACAAUAAACACGAUAAACACCACAAGCUUGACGACUGGACCGCCGGGGGAUAGCUCAGGCGUGAGAGUCAGUAUACGUGUUCACAAGGUUAACAAUGGAGGAUGUAAUGUCUAGUGUAUUGAGAGUGAUAAUAAUUCUCAGUUGUGUGUAUGUGAAUAUGAAUGUGAACGUACCUGUUUGUGAAAACUUAGUUGAUAGGUUGUACUCUCUUUUCCCGGUUUACCGUGCCACCCACUACCUCUGACACAACCCCCUGAUAUGAUGGAUUCUGCCGACUGAGUGCUGUAUACCCACUACUUUUAGGUACUGUUUAUGCCGCCGGCCGGCUAUAAUCCCAUCCACAUUAAUAUAUGGCAGGUGUCUUAGUCAACUGUCCUGUUUUUUCAUCAUUACAAGUCAAAGUAAUAGAUAUUAAAAGAUCCAAUGGGUUAGUCCAAUGAACCGACCCAAUUUCAUAGGAUUAAAUAAAAGUAAUAUGGUGACUAGGCCCAGUGGCUUUCAAGGUUCAAUAAUGAAGGCCCAAUAGAUUAAUUAAAUAAGUAAGCCCAAUUUGCUCGGCCCAAAGAGGGGAAAUAUCAUGACCCAACACUAUUGAUUUUGUAAAAGUUAAUAUAAAAUAUUUUUAAAUUUUAAAUUGACAUAAUAAUUUAAGUUUUAAAAAUAAUGAAUCUUAUCACUAGUAGUACUUUUUAAGUAGUGAGUAAUAUUUAUAAUUGUAUUGAUAUAAACUAAAUGAAUUUAUGUUAAUUUUAAAUUUAAAAAUAUUUAAAAUUAAUUUUUAAAAAGUCAAUAAUAAUAAUAAUAAUCCUAUAAACCGGAACAAGGAAAGUAUAAAAAUCGAAAAGGUGGAGAGAGAGAAAUAGAGACGGAGCAUACAAUAGUAUUUUGUGAGUUUGGCGUGUGAAAUAGAGAGUUUUUGGUAAAGUGAUAUGAAAGUAUGAAAGUAUUGAUAAAGUGAGAUUAUUUGCUUAAAGUGGUUUUUUUUUCUCUGAUGAUGCUGAUGUGGCACAUCCACAUUCUCCCCUCUCCCCUCUCCCCUCUUCCCUCUUCUCACUCCCGAAUUAUUGUUUGGACUAUAGGGAGAGGGAGAGGGAGGGAGACCACAAUCAACAACAAAUUCAAAUAAAUUAUAAAUGUUAAAUUAUCAAAUAAAAAAUUCUAAAUUUGUUACUUUCAAAAUCUCAUAUGCUCAGAGGCCAAAGAGUGAGGAAGAGACUGAAUGAGAAGAGGAGAAGAGGUCGCGGCUGUGAAGAGGAGAAAUCGUUGGCCAAAUAGGGAAGCAGAAGUGCAGAAGAAGUGCUUUGAGCUCUCGUCCGAUUGUCCCUCUCUUAUCUAACUCACUCUUACGUCAAAUCUGCCCCUUGAAUUUUUUUUUUAUUAAUUUACUCCCUUGAAUUUAUUAAUUUAUAAAUUCUGCCCCUUAAAUUUAACUAAAAAAGAAAUGCUACCCUUGCUAUCCAUCCGCCACUGACCACUGUAUACACCUCCUCGGGUUUUCAGUUUUGAGUUUUUCAAAAUAUAGAAAUCUAUAUAGUUUUAAAAAAUAAAAAAAAUCUUAUUGCUCAUUCUGUUCUAAAACAAAAUCAUAGAACAUAGAGAAUCAAAUUAAUUUACCGCAAUAAUAGAAAAAUAUUCUUGAUUUUGAGUAACAGAAGAAAAUGAAUAGAUAGUGAUCACAGAUUUUGUACUAACUGAGAUAUGGAAGCUGAUUUUACACUGAAAUACACUCAACUUUCAAUGCGGGUCAAAAUUGUAUUAUAUUGUAAAAGUUUAAUUGAAUUUCUUAAAAUAUAUUAAGAGGGUAAUUUUACCCCCUUAUAUCAUUAUAUGCUGCCGUGCUGCUAAAAAAGAAAAAAAGAAGAUCGCAUUAAAUGAUUUUCUUCUUCUUGUUAUCCAUGGUAAUCAUUCUUCUCUUUCUUGCUUGGGCAGCCAUGAUUUUUCUCAUUCCAAAAGUCUCCUCCGCGGCACAAACAACGUUUAGAUCAGGGAUGCCACGUGGGUUCACCAUGCCCAAUCCACUUCCACUGCUGGAGGAUAAAAUUCCACCAUUUGGGUAGUAUUCAACUUUGAAUGAAGAUGAAGAACAAGACGGUUGUUGAUGAGGAAAAACAGAAGUAGGAUAUUGCUGCUGUUGGUCCAUUCUCAAUCCUCUGUUAAUUUCCAUUUGAGGAUUUUUCUUUCUAAGGUAACAGUUUAUCUGUAUAAAAAGAAUUAUAUCAUAUUGGAUUAUUGACCCCACCUCGUAGACUCCAUUAGAAAGCAGAAAUUUUAUGGAGACUGGAGAGAGAUAAAUACCUCAUCUUUCUUUGCUUUCAAGGCCAAAUUGAAAGUCAUUAACUUCUUGUAAUAUCCCCUUACAACAUCUACCUCCUGUUUGAUUAUUUAUAUACAACAAGAUAAUAUUAUUAAUCCGUAUGUAUGUUACUAAUAUGAAUUAAGAAAUUCAAAAUCCGAAUUUUGAGAAUACAGUAUAGAGAGUUUAUUUUACUUUUUGGGGGAGGGGGGUGUUACCUUUGUCAGCAAUUUGUUGCGUUGGGUUAAUCCGUCUAUAAUCUCUAACCAAUCCUUUCUUGUAUGCAAGAUGGGUCUUUUUGAGUACUACAGAUUUUUUCCAGAGUAAUAAAGACUUAAAUCAAAGUAUUUUCAUCUAUAGCUAUACGUGUCCAUUCAUAAAAUAUAGACAUUAAAACAGGGUAGACAUCUAAGCCUAAAAGCAAGGCACCAAAAACUCAAUUGUCAAAAUAAAACCCCGAUAAAUAAAUAAAAAAAACAGAGUACACAAAAUAACCUCGUAAACUCAAAGAAGUAGAAACAGAUACCCUUUUUUUAGAACUUGUCUUGGGUAAUUGGUGCUUCGACUUUUCAUCACAUUCACUUGGAGAAAAACAAAGCGGAGUGGAAGGACUGGUCGCCUGCGUCUUGACUUGGAGUCUUUUAUCAAUUUCUCUCUCCUCCUGACGCGGUGGACUUGGGGCUGAAGAAUCCUUGGCAGAUCUCCUUCCUCUAGCACCCCAAACCAACGAAAAUUGAUUUCGAGACUCGGAUUCAAUGAUUAUCUCUUGGAGAUCGAGUAAAAUAUCGCCGACCUCAUAUUCUAUUUUAGUCUCAAAACCAAAUCCAUACCUCUCACCAGUACCAUUAAUUCUCUCUUUCAUUGUUUUUCUCUCUCAAAAUCAUCCACUGAAGAGAGUUGCAAAAACUAUGGCGAUAAGAGAGAGAGAGGGAGGGAGGGAGGAGUAUUGUAUCCUUACUUAUAAGGGAGAAUUAAGGGGAGAGAGAGGAGGAGUAUUGCCCCCCUUAAUAAGGGAGAAUUCAGGAGGGGGAGAGAGUGGCUGAUGCCACGUGGCAAACAAAUAUAGAAGGAAGGAAGGAAGGUUGGGUUGUCACUAGGGUUUAUGGCGUUUGAUAUGGUAAGGAGUUUGUGAAGGGGGCGUGAGUUCACAACGGGCCAAGAUCGAGUUUCAGUAGUACAUUAUUAAUUCAAUAAGUAUAUGCGACAUGAAAAUUGAAUCGAAAGAAUAAAAUAAAAUAAAUUUAUUCUCAUGAACAAAUAAAUUAUAUUAUUUAUUUAUUUGUAGGAAUAAAUUUAUUUUAUUUUUUCGGUCCAAUUUUCCUUUCGGCAUAGAAGUACUCUUAUUAAGCAUUUUUUAUUAACAAUUUUCUCUUCGUAUUUGUGAGAAGUAGUUAACAUAAAAUUAAUUUUAAUCAAUUGAUCAAAAUUACUAUAAAGUUAAUUUUAUGAUAACCGGAUUCAUAUUUGUGUAAGCUUCAAUUAGGUUAUGUUUCAGUUUAUGAAAAAAAUUCUAAAACAUAAUAGAAAUGAUGUAAAAUUUAAAAACAGUUAGAAAUAUGAUUGAAUUACGUAGUUGAUUAGUAUUAAUACUUAAGAAUCUAUAUACUACUACUACUACUACUACUUUGUUUAGACAAGGCAACCAACUUAAAAAACACUUGUUAGAUUCACAGGUUGAUGAUACCAAGUUUACAUCUAAUUGUCACACAAGCAAAAAGGGAUACCAUUACCACCCAGCCCAGCAGUAAUGUUUUGGUGUGGAACAAUUCAAUUGCAUUACACUUCAAAAUUGUUCAGCUAAUUAAGUUGUAGGAGGACGACAAAGGAAAUUAUGAAACAAUUCAAGCUAAUUCAAUACGGCAUUCCACCAUUUCUAUACAAAAUCAGACAGCAAAUAAAAGCUAGUUGGGACUUCAGAGUUUUAAGAGACGGAAGAACAUCAGGAUUAAGUCUUUCAAUCCAUAACAACAAUAAUAAAAGAACUACGCUCCUCUCUGUUUCUUUACACUUCUAACAGCCAUCACAAAGUCAUCAUCUGAUCCGUUAUCAGAUAGAUCAUCAUCAAUCUUUCGCUUCUUAGACCGUUUUGUAGAACCUUUAGACUCUGGUGGUGCCUUCUUCUUUGAUGUUGGGGAGGAUAUAAUUUUUCUUACAACCGUAAUUGAUUCAGCACUUUUCUUUACACUGACGACAGCUUUCAUAGGUGAACCUAGUUUUUGCUGCUGAUUCCUUUUCAGUUUCUUCUCAUAAACUUUCUUUGCCUCAUCUUUGGGUAGCAAACCAGACUCCAUCAUCCUGCCAUAAAUUCAAAAAGAAGAAUAGGAAUUCUAAUUCAAAAUCUGAUAUAGAGACGAUCAUAUGCUCCCAGCUAGGAAUGUAUACAUGUACACAAUUGUGACAUAAGAACUUUAAUGACAUAAUGGUAUACUUUUUCUCUAUCUCCAUCUCGGAAUUCAACAUGGUUGAGGCAGCUCAAUUGGGUAAAACAACUAAAGGCUCUAGAGUCCAACAUUUGGGAUCAUUAAAAACAAAAACAAAAACAAAAACAAAAAACGGAGAACAAAUUGGUCCUUUCUUGAUGCCUAAACCACAGCAUGGUCAGCUUUAAACCGUAAGUUCUCAAGAUCAAUUGAUGCUCACUAAAGUCUAAAUAGACUAAAACACAAGGAAAUGAAAGAAGGAAGAGGGGGAAGNNNNNNNNNNNNNNNNNNNNNNNNNNNNNNNNNNNNNNNNNNNNNNNNNNNNNNNNNNNNNNNNNNNNNNNNNNNNNNNNNNNNNNNNNNNNNNNNNNNNNNNNNNNNNNNNNNNNNNNNNNNNNNNNNNNNNNNNNNNNNNNNNNNNNNNNNNNNNNNNNNNNNNNNNNNNNNNNNNNNNNNNNNNNNNNNNNNNNNNNNNNNNNNNNNNNNNNNNNNNNNNNNNNNNNNNNNNNNNNNNNNNNNNNNNNNNNNNNNNNNNNNNNNNNNNNNNNNNNNNNNNNNNNNNNNNNNNNNNNNNNNNNNNNNNNNNNNNNNNNNNNNNNNNNNNNNNGGGGAGGGGGGGACGAUGGCCCUCCCAUACUUGAAUAGUUGAAUGUACAAAAAGGUCAUUAGAAUACAAAGUGAACUGAACUGCAUUAGGUAAAAAUAUGUUUACAAGGCUAUCCUAAAGCAUGCACCAGCACCCCUCCUAACGAGUGUCUCUCAGUUUCAUACAAAGGCAGCACCAGGAUAGGUAAUCCAUAUGUUUGAGGAACUGAAGUCAUUACUGCCAUAAGAUCUACUACCAAGCAAACAAAAUAAUGAUAGUUAUGGCAAUUGAAGUCUAUCAAAAUUCAAAUUAAUUUUGGCCAAAAAAUUCAAGACUUAAACGAAUACAAAGCACACAAGUUAUGUCAGUAUCACUAAUCAAAUUAAAAUACCAAGGAUAUUCACGUCCACUGUGAUGAGACAAAUGAGAUAUGUACGUAUAUUUUAUUCACUAUUACUACCUCCGUCCCACAAUAAGUUAUUUUUUAGGCUUAAUAUUUUUUCCCAAAAUAAGUGAUGUGUUAGAACUCCAAAAAAAAAAAUUUACAAUAUUUUCUCAUAUAUGCCCUUAUGCAUCCAAUGGUAUUUAUUGCGUCUUGCAAUCACUACAAUUAAAUGACACUAAUUAACUCUUCAACUUCAAAGAAAAUAUAUUAAAGUUAUUUUUACCAUUUUAACUUGUGUAUUGGUAUGUGUGAUUUAAACUAAAAAAUCACUUAUUAUGGGACGGAGGUAGUAUUAUUUUUAUCUUGAAGGGUUCCUUGAUCAUUUUAGGGAUUUAUUUUCGGCUUUUCUCCCUCCCUCCCUCCCUCCCUCCCUCCCUCCCUAUGUCCACUAUGAUGUGACAAAUGAGGCAUGUAAAUACGAGUCAUUAUUAUAGUUCAUAGUUGUCAUGGCGUCGCCUAGGUGACGACUAGGAGUUCUGGCGUUGGAGAAGGGCAAGACAACGCCUUGGACACCGAGCCGCCAAGGCUCACGCAUUGGUAGCGGGCCCAAUUAAGUGACUAAUUCAUUUUUUUACCAUGACUUGUCAGAACCCAUGGACUUUUUUAAUUACCCAAAUAACUCAACCCAUGACCCUACUCCUUUGAAUGAGAGUAAUGCUCAUGAAGGAGACGGAAAUAAUUUCGUAGUUGAUGAAUUUACUUGAGCUAUGAUUAAAAACAGAGUAGAGAAUGGAGACUUUUUCAGUGUUAGUUAUUAUGUUUUGGGUUUUAGUGUAUAUAAAAUUUUAUUGUGCAAUAUAUAUUUUUGAAAUAAAAUAAAUAAUGUAUAAAUUACCCCAUUGUUAACGACUUUUCGCCAUACAGACGCCAUAGUGGGCGCUUUAUCGCCUAGGAAGACGUCGAUUAACUACAGUCGCGUUCCGCCUUGGCACCAUGACAACUAUGUUAUAGUUAAUAUCCCUCUUUCAUUAUCAUAGUUGUUAAGGCAUCGCCUAGCGGCCAGUCGAAAGGAAAAGGGCAAGGCGAGCGUGCGACUUGGUCAAUGGUAGAAAGGCGAGCGCCUCGCAAAAACAGUCGUCCUUGGACAUCACGGUGACGAUUUAGACAACUAUCCGGUUGGUCGAGUGACUUGGUCUCCAUGGGUAUUGUUAACGCCAAGUUUCGCCGGCGCGUCCAAUCACAGAAUCCACGCGCUAGAACCUGCACAGUAACAGAUCACACAGAAGCUUGACGGCUUAUGCCGCCGGGGGAUAGCUCCGGUGUGAGAAUGAGUACAGGUCGUUACAAGGUUUAACAAUGGAGGAUAAGUAUUUAGUGCUCAAAAAUAGGUAUUACCUCAUAAUGAUAACCUAGGCCUCAUAUUUAUAGUACUCACCACCUUAGAAUCCUUCUCCCAGUCGGACUAGGACUCCUAGUAUAUGGUAAUUACCAUAACUUGGGUCCAACGCCAUCUCCUUAAAAGGUGCAAGUAGAGUCCAAUCUCCUUACCACCUUUGGAGUUAUCUUAUAUGCACAUAAAUAGGUACCCGGACUCUGCACGCAGGAGAGCCCACUGUGCAGGCCCAAACGGUCCUAUAAUCUAAUCUGGGAUUCGGCCCGACCCCGAACAUCACAAGACCAGGUUCGGCUAUGAUCCCGGAGGGCUCAAAUGCCGACCCGAACACCUCCAACACCUUCAUGGGCUUCGGCCCAUCGGUCUCUC
rnacentral:lncRNA from 1 species